GUGUAACCUGCCCAAUGGUUUUUAAUUCUAAAAAAUAAACUUCUAUAAUAAAACUUAAAGGACGCAGUAACCUGACUGUGGUAAUGUAGCAUAAUCAUUCGCCAUUUAAUUGAUGGAUAGUAUGAAUGGUUGAACGAAUUUUCCACUGUCUUAGAAAGAGAAAUCAUGAAAUUAAAAUAAUAGUAAAGAUGCUAUUUUAAAUUGUAAGACGAAAAGACCCUAUAGAGCUUAACUAUAAUCUCUUUAAAGAAAGUAAAAUUUUCAAAGAGAGACUGGUAGUUUAGUUGGGGCGACUAUCUUCUAAAAUAAACGAAGAUAAGCAAUAUUAAUAAAAUAAUUUAUUGUAUAAUAAAUAUAUUUAACAAUUAUUAAAGUAGGCUAUAAUGACCCGUUAUAAUUAAAUAAUAAAUAUAACGAUCAAUAAAUAAAAGCUACCUUAGGGAUAACAGGAUAAUUUUGUUCUAGAGAUCCUAUCGAAAACAAAGUUUGUCACCUCUAUGUUGAAUUAAGAUAUCCUGAUAAUGCAGAAGUUAUCAAAGGUAGGUCUGU
rnacentral:rRNA from 1 species